CCUGUGUGUGAAUGCAGGUCUAUAUUUUUGCAGAGUUAUGUGCAAACAGUCAGAUGCACACAGUUAUACAUAUACACUGUCAAAUCCACCACAUGCACACAGUCGCAGGUAGAUAGUCACAUACACAGGUUCAGGCAGAAACAUACAUACUUACAUGCAGACAGCCAUACACACACACACACACAGGAAGACACGCAGACAGCCACACACACAGGAAGACACGCAGACAGCCAUACACACACACACACACACAGGAAGACACGCAGACAGCCACACACACACACACACACACACGGGAAGACACACACUCUCUGAAACUUCUAUGUUUUUAGCUGCAGGGUUAAAACUAGAGGGACCUGGCACCCAGUCCACUUCAUUGAGCUGAAGUGGUCUGGGUGCCUAUAGUGGUCCUUAAAUUACGGGUAGCAGUGUCACCAAAGUGGUUGACAUCCCUAAUAUGACUUAAUGUGGUAUGUGACAAUCUACUUUGAGAAUGCACGCAGGGCAGAUAUUGGUGAUAAAAAUAACAGGGAGGACUGACGUUGUGGCAUCAAAGUCAGACCAGAAUUUCCCUUGCAGCUACUUCGGCCGGAUCUGCCUGUCCUGCAUUGGCCUUGUCAGACACCAGAGUAUCUUCAGCAGACGUGGACAGCCCGAUUCUUAAAUCUUCAUUUAAGAAUUCAAACCAAACAGUCUCUGAACUGACUUUUUUUGUACUUUUAAUUACACCCUAAUAAUGCUCAAACAUGAUAGAAAUGCUUCAAACUAUAU